UCGGACAUGGUGUACGGUACACGGCCUCUCUUGUUAUUCAAAUCGCGAAGGGAAAAUUAUGAGGCAACCCGGGGUUCGACUCCCUGUGUCCGAA